rnacentral:rRNA from 1 species
GACGAACGCUGGCGGCGUGCUUAACACAUGCAAGUCGAACGAAGAGCGAUGGAAGCUUGCUUCUAUCAAUCUUAGUGGCGAACAGGUGAGUAACGCGUAAUCAACCUGCCCUUCAGAGGGGGACAACAGUUGGAAACGACUGCUAAUACCGCAUACGAUCUAAUCUCGGCAUCGAGGAUAGAUGAAAGGUGGCCUCUACAUGUAAGCUAUCACUGAAGGAGGGGAUUGCGUCUGAUUAGCUAGUUGGAGGGGUAACGGCCCACCAAGGCGAUGAUCAGUAGCCGGUCUGAGAGGAUGAACGGCCACAUUGGGACUGAGACACGGCCCAGACUCCUACGGGAGGCAGCAGUGGGGAAUCUUCCGCAAUGGACGAAAGUCUGACGGAGCAACGCCGCGUGAGUGAUGACGGCCUUCGGGUUGUAAAGCUCUGUUAAUCGGGACGAAAGGCCUUCUUGCGAAUAAGUGAGAAAGGAAUUGACGGACCGG